CGGGUGAGUAAUGCAUAGGAAUUUGCCUUGAAGUGGGGGAUAGCCCGGAGAAAUCCGGAUUAAUACCGCAUAUGUUCUACGGAACAAAGUGGGCCUCUGAUUUAAGCUCAUGCUUUGAGAUAAGCCUAUGUCGGAUUAGCUAGUUGGUAGGGUAAAAGCCUACCAAGGCGACGAUCCGUAGCUGGUUUGAGAGGAUGAUCAGCCACACUGGGACUGAGACACGGCCCAG
rnacentral:rRNA from 1 species